rnacentral:rRNA from 1 species
UACGUAGGGUGCAAGCGUUAUCCGGAAUUAUUGGGCGUAAAGAGCUCGUAGGCGGCUUGUCACGUCGGGUGUGAAAGCCCGGGGCUUAACCCCGGGUCUGCAUUCGAUACGGGCAGGCUAGAGUGUGGUAGGGGAGAUCGGAAUUCCUGGUGUAGCGGUGAAAUGCGCAGAUAUCAGGAGGAACACCGGUGGCGAAGGCGGAUCUCUGGGCCAUUACUGACGCUGAGGAGCGAAAGCGUGGGGAGCGAACAGG